rnacentral:rRNA from 1 species
UUUAUUUGAUUUCUUCGGAAUGAAGAUUUUGUGACUGAGUGGCGGACGGGUGAGUAACGCGUGGGUAACCUGCCUCAUACAGGGGGAUAACAGUUGGAAACGACUGCUAAUACCGCAUAAGCGCACAGGGUCGCAUGACCUGGUGUGAAAAACUCCGGUGGUAUGAGAUGGACCCGCGUCUGAUUAGCUGGUUGGUGAGGUAACGGCCCACCAAGGCGACGAUCAGUAGCCGGCCUGAGAGGGUGAACGGCCACAUUGGGACUGAGACACGGCCCAAACUCC